ensembl:processed_transcript
GUGGAAUGCUGGCUGGCGAGCCACACCCCUCCGGUCCCAAGCUGACCCCUCACCCCAGCGGCUCCUGUUUGAGGACCCCGAGACCCUUUUAGGACUAAAUCAAGGCUGGGGAGGUGCAGAUGCCAUCCCCCACCCCGCCCGGAGUAUCCAGAAUUAGGGUGCCAAGAAGUGUGUGUAGGAGAAUGCCGAGCAGGAAAUAAAGCAAAUACUUUCAGUGGCUGUA